rnacentral:rRNA from 1 species
GAUGAACGCUGGCGGCAUGCCUUACACAUGCAAGUCGAACGGUAACGCAGGGCAACCUGGCGACGAGUGGCGAACGGGUGAGUAAAGUAUCGGAACGUGCCCAGUAGUGUGGGAUAGCCCGGCGAAAGCCGGACUAAUACCGCAUGAGACCUGAGGGUGAAAGCGGGGGAUCGCAAGACCUCGUGCUAUUGGAGCGGCCGAUAUCAGAUUAGGUAGUUGGUGGGGUAAAGGCCUACCAAGCCGACGAUCUGUAGCUGGUCUGAGAGGACGACCAGCCACACUGGGACUGAGACACGGCCCAGACUCCUACGGGAGGCAGCAGUGGGGAAUUUUGGACAAUGGGCGAAGGCCUGAGCCAGCCAUGCCGCGUGCGGGAAGAAGGCCUUCGGGUUGUAAACCGCUUUUGUCGGGGAAGAAAUCUUCUGGGUUAAUACCCUGGGAGGAUGACGGUACCCGAAGAAUAAGCACCGGCUAACUACGUGCCAGCAGCCGCCGUAA